rnacentral:rRNA from 1 species
UACGUAGGGGGCAAGCGUUGUCCGGAAUUAUUGGGCGUAAAGAGCUCGUAGGCGGUUUGUCGCGUCUGCUGUGAAAACUCGGGGCUUAACUCCGGGCCUGCAGUGGGUACGGGCGACUAGAGUGCGGUAGGGGAGACUGGAAUUCCUGGUGUAGCGGUGAAAUGCGCAGAUAUCAGGAGAACACCCGUGGCUAAGGCGGCUCUCUAGUACGGUACUGACGCUGAGACGCGAAAGCGUGGGGGAGCGA